rnacentral:rRNA from 1 species
AUGAGAAACUGGACGGAAGAUAUGGCUGUGAGAAGAGACAAAUACGACUAUGAAUAUGGUCGUGGUGUUGGGAUGAUCGAUGACAACAUUACAGAGGAGUAUAGGCUGAAAAAAAUUCCAGAAGAAGAAGCUCAAAAAACCAAGAAAGCUAGUAGCAAAAAGUCUAACGUUACUGGAACGAGGAAAGAGGGCAGUACCUCAGAGGCUUCGAGCCAAAAGCCUACUAUGGACCGGAUUUUGAGUGAGAUGAAUGAGCUUCGGAAGGAACUGCUUCGUUUGCCAGAGUUAUGCGCACAGAGGAUGAUUAAGAAACUGAACAAAACCGGCGUCUUCUACAAACCCAGUAACCUAGAAGAAGACAAAGAGAAUCUGUACGGAGGCAUUAAUGAGUAUUCAAACGGUGGACGUCCGAAAAAAGAGCUUGUAUAUCAAAAAGAUGAUUCAGACCGGUUCCGCACACCUUCCAAAAUGAAUUUGCAAAAGGAUGAUGACGACGGUGAUGUAACUUCUCGUGGAAACACACCUUUUUACUGCACACCUGAGUACUGUGAUAGUUUCAAGGGAGUAGAAGAGGAAGUGGAGGAGGUUACUGGCAGGAGCAAGCGCAAAGGGUCACAACAUGUCAAGUCUCCUUAUGUGGUCCCUAAACCGAACAAGCGUGCAAAACAUUCUGCGAAAGGAAAAUUGUUUCAAAAUGGUGGUGUUAACAAAUCUAGUGAUGAGUAUGAUGUGGUGAAAGCGUCCAUCAAGUACGUGCGCGCGCAUGAGCAUUCACAAAAACAUGCCAAAACAGAAAUUUUCAAUGAUGGCUUGGAAGAAAGUCUGACUGUGUGGAGAGCUUGUCAGAUUAUUAACCAUGAGUGGCUAAGUGGAGAUGUAAUUAAUGCAUACUCAUCAUAUUUGGUCGACAAAGUUAGUGAUGAUCGUUUCAUGUUGAUAACUUGGAGGAUACAUUGGUUGCUUCACGUUAGACCCGGAAAAAAGACCACCGGUAACGAUUAUGAAGCAGAGUCGCAUAGUAAUGGACCCGUGAAUAUAUGUGAGGACGAGUAUUUCAAAAAUCAAAGAGAAAACAACUAG